rnacentral:sRNA from 1 species
GCCGGGGGUGUGGGGUGUAGUGCACAGCUGUGGUCCCAGCUCCUCAGGAGGCUGAGGCAGGAGGAUUGCUAGAACCCAGGAUUGCCCAUCCUGGGCAGCAUAGUGAGAGCCAGCUCUU